rnacentral:rRNA from 1 species
AUUGAACGCUGGCGGCAGGCUUAACACAUGCAAGUCGAGCGAGCGGCGGACGGGUGAGUAAUGUCUGGGAAACUGCCCGAUGGAGGGGGAUAACUACUGGAAACGGUAGCUAAUACCGCAUACCAUCGGAUGUACCCAGAUGGGAUUAGCUAGUAGGUGGGGUAAUGGCUCACCUAGGCGACGAUCCCUAGCUGGUCUGAGAGGAUGACCGGCCACACUGGGACGGAGACACGGCCCAGACUCCUACGGGAGGCAGCAGUGGGGAAUAUUGCACAAUGGGCGCAAGCCUGAUGCAGCCAUGCCGCGUGUAUGAAGAAGGCCUUCGGGUUGUAAAGUACUUUCAGCGAGGAGGCGUUACCCGCAGAAGAAGCACCGGCUAACUCCGUGCCAGCAGCCGCGGUAAUAC